rnacentral:rRNA from 1 species
AGCUCUGCGAGUUUGCUCCCAUAUUGUUGCAGUUAAAACGCCCGUAGUCUGAACUCGGUCGCGAGACCAAUAUGUGCAAUUGCACGUUCACUGUGAACAAAUCAGGACGCUUAGGGUAUGGUAUACACGAAUGACCUAGCGCAGUAUGAAAUCUUUGCUACGCAAGUAGCAAGCUCAAUGAGAGCCAUCGGGGGUGGAUCUAUUUCAUGGCGAGUGGCGGAAUACUUUGACCCAUGAGAGAGAAGCUAAAGCGAAGGCAUCCACCUAGAGGGUUUCUG